CAAAAGCGUAUAUUAAAGUUGUUGCAGUUAAAAAGCUCGUAGUUGAACCUUGGGCUUGGCUGGCCGGUCCAUCUUUUUUGAUGCGUACUGGACCCAGCCGAGCCUUUCCUUCUGGCUAGCCUUUUGGCGAACCAGGACUUUUACUUUGAAAAAAUUAGAGUGUUCAAAGCAGGCCUUCGCUCGAAUAUAUUAGCAUGGAAUAAUAGAAUAGGACGUUAUGGUUCUAUUUUGUUGGUUUCUAGGACCAUCGUAAUGAUUAAUAGGGACGGUCGGGGGUAUCAGUAUUCAGUUGUCAGAGGUGAAAUUCUUGGAUUUACUGAAGACUAACUACUGCGAAAGCAUUUACCAAGGACGUUUUCAUUAA
rnacentral:rRNA from 1 species